rnacentral:lncRNA from 1 species
GGUAUUAGGAAAGUCCAAGGGCUUUGCUCCACACCAAAAUGAAUCUUUGUGGUUGAAUGAGGAGGUACAAACAAAGGUUAAGGCUAAGAAGGAAUGUUGUAAAGCCUUAUACAAGGAUAGGACCGAUGAAAAUGGUGAAAGGUAUAAAAUAGCGAAGCAGGAGGCGAAGAAAGCUGUGAGAGAAGCUAAGCUAGCGGCUUUUGACGAUAUUUAUAAGAAACUAGAUACCAAAGGAGAGUUGGAUAUCUAUAAACUAGCUAAAGCAAGGGAAAAGAAGACAAGGGACCUAAACCAAGUGAGGUGCAUCAAGGAUGAGAAUGGAAAGGUUCUUGCCACAGAGAACACGGUUAAAGACAGAUGGAGAGGUUAUUUUCAUAAUCUUUUCAAUGAAGGACAUGAAAGGAGUAUUUCUUUGGGGGAAUUGAGUAACUCAGAACAGUGUAGAAACUACUCUUUUUACUGCCGAAUUAGGAAGGAAGAAGUGGUUGUAUUUGAAAAACAUGAAGCAUAGAAAAGCAGUGGACCCAGAUGAUAUACUGAUCGAAGUGUGGAAAGUCUUGGGAGAGACGGAUAUAGCAUGGCUCACAGACCUUUUCAAUAGGAUUUUUUUUUAGAAGAAACUAUUAAAAUAGAAAAGUGGAAUUACACAAAAGUGGAUAAGAAAUCCACCAAGAACAAAACAAGAAAAUCUCUCAAGAGGUUCUGAUUACAAGUAGCAAAACCUCAACCAAAAUCACUUUACAGCUGCUAACAUAUCCCACAAAAUGUGAGAGAGAGUAAUUCUUAAAAUCAUUCGAAACUGAAGCCCAGAGGGCUCCCCAAUAUCUUACUCUUCCCCAUAGAUCUACUACCCCCACACUAGUAUAAUCCUCAAAAAUUCUUUUGUUACGCUCCAACCAAAUGUUCCAAAAAACUGCCGACACCAGACAACCCCACAAAGUUUUAGCUUUCCUCCCAAUUCCUAGAGCCUCAAAAUUGGUGCUUAGAAGCUCGAGACAACCCUUUGGAAUGACCCAACUAACUCAACCUCCUGAAACAAUUUCCACUAAGAACACUAGAGAAAAAUGUGGUUAACACUCUCCUCCUUAGCUUUACACAAACUGCACCAAUGGGGAGAUAAACAAAUAAAAGGGCUUCUCCUUUGAAUUUGAUCAUAAGUGUUGAGCUUCCCAUUAGCCACUAGCCACACAAGAACUUUGACCUUCGGAGGAACUUUUGAUUUCCAAAUUUGAGAAGAGGGUGGAAAAUGUUGCACAAUCCCAUUGUUGCUCAACAAAGAGCGAUAGGAUUUGCAAGUGAACAAUCCUGAUAAGUCCAGUUUCCACCUUCUGUUAUCCAAUCAUGAUUGAGACAAGCGAACAUUUUCUACUUUCUGUAAUAAUCUAGCCGCCUCUUCUAUCUCCACCUCAUUCAAAUUUCUCCUGAAAUCAAAAUUCCAACUCAAAGAAUUGAUAGAAAGAUCCACAAAACUUGAGAUGUUCUGAUUGUGCCAAAUGAGUGGCGGAAGGCACAUUGAUGUCUAUCGACAAGAAUAAGGGCGACAUACAAAAUUGGAUGAACUAUAGGAGUAUUAAGCUAAUGAGUUAUACAAUGAAGCUCUGAGAGUCAUUGAGCAUAGAUUGAGGCAAGAGACACGGGUCUCGGACAAAGUGUAUGAUAGGAUCCUAAGAGACAUUUUUUGGAGGAUUUUAGAGAAGAAAGGAGUACACGUAGCAUAUAUCCAAGCUAUAAAGGAUAUGUAUGAUGGAGCAAAGAUUGUCGUAAGAACUCAUGAAGGACAAACCGAAAGCUUUCUCAUAACUGUAGUGUUACAUCAAGGCUCAUCUUUAAGUCUUUACCUUUUUGCAUUGGUAAUGGAUGAGUUAACGGGACAUAUUCAAGAUGAUAUUCCUUAGUGUAUGCUUUUCGCAGACGAUAUAGUGUUAAUAGAUAAAACUCAGGAAGGGGUAAAUGCAAAGCUUAACCUUUGGAGAUAAGUGUUAGAAUCUAAAGGUUUUCACCUAAGUCGGUCAAAGACAGAAUAUAUGGAGUGCAAGUUCAGUGCAAAUGGAAGCCCAAAUGAGUUUGGGGUGAGGAUCGAAGACCAUGAAGUACCAAAGAGUGACCGUUUUUGCUACCUAGGAUCUUUCUUGCAAAAGAACGGAGAAUUAAAUGAAGACCUCAACCAUAGAAUACAAGUUGGAUGGAUGAAGUGGAAGAGUGCAUCCUGCGUGUUGUGUGAUCGUCGUAUGCCACUCAAACUCAAGGGAAAAUUUUAUAGGAAGCAAUAAGGUAGGCGAUGCUGUAUGGCACAGAAUGUUAGACGGUAAAGUAUCAACAUGUAUAUAAAAUGAGUGUAGUGGAGAUGAGGAUGCUUCGUUAAAUGUGUGGGCACACGAGAAAGGAUAAGAUUAAGAAUGAGGAUAUCUGAGGUAAAGUAGGAGUAGCCGAAAUUAAAGGAAAGACGAGAGAAAAUCGGUUACAGUGGUUUGGACAUGUGCAAUGAAGACCUACUGACGCCAUAGUUAGAAGAUGCGACUACGAGACAGAGGUCCAGGCUGAAGGCCUAUAGGAAGACCUAAAAAGACUUUGGAAAAGACUCUUAAGAAAAGACUUAAAAGUACUUGGAUCUAGCGGAAGACAUGACACAGAACCAAGCGCAAUGGCAUUCUAGGAUUCAUAUAACCGACCCCACUUAGUGGGAAAAGGUUUUGUUGUUGUUGUUGACUUGCUAUGGCAUGUUGUAUUACAUGUUUAUAUGAUAGUUGACACAUACUUCAUGUGUCAAACUAAGAAAUACUCGCCUAGGCUUGUCGAGGAGCGCCUAGGCGUCAACUGGGCGUCAAUUGGACGUCCCUUUUUCUUUUUUAGGUUGCAGAAAUCUGGAUUUCUUUUAGUUGCAGGGCUGUUUUUGAGUUGCAGACCAAGAAACUGGCGAAGGAGAAGGAGAUGGAGAUGAUGCUAGGGUUUUUUAGGCUGAGUUUGUUUUUUAAUUUUUGUCUUUAAAUACCUAUAAAACUCCGCCUAUGUCUUACAUGGCCGGUCCCAAGCCCGGAUAAAGGAGGAGGGGGAGGGCGUCAGGUAGUCGACAGCCGGCACUCCAUGAUCACGUCGAAUCCUUAUGAAAAUGAAUCCAGAACAAAAUCGCGCCAAAGCUAGGGCGUCACCCGUAAGUGGCGCGCUGUGUGGCCUGAGCACAGUGAUAAGUGAGCAAGGGUCGCUGUAUCUCCAUCGGCACCCGGAUGCAGUGUUAAAUGAGCAAGGGGGCCAUAGAAACUUCUUUUCGAACGACUUCACUCAAAGUUGUUUGGGAGCAUAUGCUCCUAUCAACUUUACCCGGGACACACAAAAGAAGUACUUUGAUCCUAUUAGACGGGGGAGGGUGAAGAAGCUAGGACAGAAGGGUAGAGUUCAAGAGAGCAAAAUGCGUUUAGGAACGUGGAAUAUAGGAACCUUAACGGGAAAAUCUAUGGAAGUAGUGGAAGUUAUGGUGAGGAGAAGGAUAAAUAUUAUGUGCCUACAAGAAACUAAGUGGGUUGGUAGUAAGGCAAAGGAUCUAGAAAACUCAGGGUUUAAACUUUGGUAUUCGGGCACAAAUAGAACGAGAAACGGUGUUGGCAUCAUCGUGGACAAGACCUUGGUACAAGAUGUUGUAGAUGUCAAGAGGGUAGGAGAUAGAAUCAUGGCAAUCAAGAUUGUAAUAGGACAAGAACUUAUCAAUGUGAUUAGUGCGUACGCACCUCAAGUAGGGUUGGAUACGAGUUCGAAGGAGAAAUUUUGGGAAGAUCUUGGAGACUUGGUGCAAGGAAUUGCUCAGACGGAGAAGUUAUUUAUAGGAGGAGAUUUAAAUGGACACGUGGGCAGGGAGACAGGCAACUAUGGAGGUUUUCAUGGUGGCCAUGGUUUUGGGGAGAGAAACGAGGAUGGGGAAGCUAUCUUGGAUUUUGCAAUGGCAUAUGAUCUCUUCUUAGCCAACACCUUCUUUAAGAAGAGAGAAGAACAUGUGAUCACCUACAAGAGUGGGUCGUCAAAAACACAAAUAGAUUUUCUUCUAAUGAGGAAAGGGGAUCGUAUAACUUGUAAGGAUUGCAAAGUUAUACCAGGAGAGAGCGUGGCUAAUCAACAUCGCUUGUUGGUGAUGGAUGUACAUAUCAAAAGAGUAAGACAAAAGAACAAGACUUGGAAGUGCCCAAGGACUAGAUGGUGGAAUCUAAAAGAAGAAAAACAAGCCAUUUUCAAAGAUAAGGUAAUCACCCAAUGUGUGUGGGAUAGAGAGGGGGAAGCUAGCCAAAUGUGGGAUUCCAUGGCUAGUUGUAUCCGAAAAGUAGCAAAAGAGGUAUUAGGAGAGUCCAAGGGCUUUGCCCCACACCAAAAGGAAUCUUGGUGGUGGAAUGAGGAGGUACAAACAAAGGUGAAGGCUAAGAAGGAAUGUUGUAAAGCCUUAUACAAGGAGAGGACUGAUGAAAAUGGUGAAAGGUAUAGAAAAGCGAAGCAAGAGGCGAAGAAAGCUGUCAGAGAAGCUAAGUUAGCGGCUUACGACGAAUAUGUAUAAACGACUAAAUACCAAAGAAGGAGAGUUGGAUAUCUAUAAACUAUCUAGAGCAAGGGAAAAAAGAAGACAAGGGACCUAAACCAAGUG